rnacentral:lncRNA from 1 species
AGCUUUUGGUUUAUAUUUGCCCACUGUGUGUUUCAGUUGUCGUAUUUCUGCCUCUCUCAGUUUUUAAAGUAUAUGUUGUUUGUUUGUUUGUUUGUUUGUUUGAAACAAGGUCUCUGUGUGUCCCUGACUGUUGUGGAACUCACUCUGAGGUUCAGGCUGCUUGAACUCACAUAGAUCUGCCUUCCUCUGCCUCCCAAGUGCUGGGACCAAAAGUGUGUGUCAUGACACCUGGCUAAAGUAUAUUGUUUAUAGUAAACAUUGUUGAAAUGUUUAUAUCCAGUCCAAGAGACUUUUACUUUGGUAGGUUUAUCCUGUGUGUGCUGUGCUCACUGAUGUUAUUAGUGCUGGUUCCUGUCAUUUUAAUGUUUUCUACUUACUGAUUCUUUAGUUUUGUUUUCAUUUCUUGUUUCCUAGUUUUGUUGACAAGAUUAUGGGAGGUGUUUCAUUUUGGCCUUUUCUUUUGUUUGUUUUAUUGCUCUUCUCUUAGUUAUGUAUUCCUUUUGUCAUGGAUAUUAAGAGAUUUAGUAAUAGGUGUAAUCCCAGUUACGUGGCUUUUAUCUGUUCUCUUUCCACUGUAACAUAGCUAUAACUAUAUAACUAUAUAACAUAACUAUAACAUAGCUAUAACUAUGUAACUAUAUAACAUAACUAUAACAUAGCUAUAACUAUGUAACUAUAUAACAUAACUAUAACAUAGCUAUAACUAUAUAACAUAACUAUAACAUAGCUAUAACUAUAUAACUAUAUAACAUAACUAACAUAGCUAUAACUAUAUAACAUAACUAUAACAUAGCUAUAACUAUAUAACUAUAUAACAUAACUAUAACAUAGCUAUAACUAUAUAACUAUAUAACAUAACUAUAACAUAGCUAUAACUAUGUAACUAUAUAACAUAACUAUAACAUAGCUAUAACUAUGUAACUAUAUAACAUAACUAUAACAUAGCUAUAACUAUAUAAAGUAACUAUAACAUAGCUAUAACUAUAUAACAUAACUAACAUAGCUAUAACUAUAUAACAUAACUAUAACAUAGCUAUAACUAUAUAACUAUAUAACAUAACUAUAACAUAGCUAUAACUAUAUAACUAUAUAACAUAACUAUAACAUAGCUAUAACUAUAUAACUAUAUAACAUAACUAUAACAUAGCUAUAACUAUAUAACAUAACUAUAACAUAGCCCCUUUUCCUUGUCAUAUCAACAGGAAGAGAAAUGCCUAUUUAGUCAUUCUGGCCACAUGAAUGGCUAUAUCCAAAGAAUGAAGUUUAGUUGAUAGAGUAAUAAAUUGCUAUUGGAUGUGGUAGUAUACAUCUGAAAUCCUAGACUUUUGUGGAUGCUGAAGCAGAGGAAUUUUGAGUUUGAGGCCAACUUUAGCUAUACUGGAUAAACCAAUCUUAAAAAAGAGAGAGAGAGAGAGAGAGAGACCAAAACCAAACAAAAUACUUGAUUACUUGAAAUGAACUUGACGGGCCAGGUGUUACUGUUGUGCUGUUUUUACGUCAUGCAGAUUGUGUUGUCUUGUUUCUUUCCCUUAUCUCUAUCUCUUUCUGAGACAAGCUCUCUGUAUGUAGCCUUGUUUGGGCUAGAACUGGCCAUGAGGAUUAGGCUAGUCUCAGACUAACAGAAACCUGCCUGCCUGUAGUCCUGGCUGUCCUAAAACUCACUGUACAGACGAGGCUGACCUUGAACUCAGAGAUCUGCCUACCUCUGCCUCCCAAGUACUGGGAUUAAAGGCAUGCAGCACCAUUGCCAAGCUCAGGCCCAUAGUUAGUUUUAUGUCACCUAAGCUAGAGGCAUUUGGGAAGAGGGAGCCUCAAUUCAGAAAAUGCUUCCACCAGAUUGGCCUGUGGGCCAAUCAUUUUUUUGAUUGAUGUGGGAGGGCCCAGCUCAUUGUGGGCUGGUAGUCCUGGGUGCUAUAAGAAAACAGGUUGAGCAAGCCAUGAGGAGCAAGACACCACUAAAGAGUGUUCCAGCAAAGGCUUCAUCUUCAUUCCUGUCCUUGAGUUCUUGCCCUGCCUUCCUUCAGUGAUGGAGUAUGAUGUGGAAGUAUAAUUGAGAUAAACCCUUUUCACUCUGGUUUGCAUAUGAUCAUGGUGUUUUGUCACAGCAAUAGAAAUCCUAAGAUGGAUUGGUACCCGGCCAUGGGAUAUUGCAAUGACAGUCCUGACCAUGUGUUUUUGGGAGAUUCAUGAUAGCAAUUAAACUUUGGGCUGUGUACUGGAUGGUUUUGUGUAUCAACUUGAAACAAGUUAGAGUCAUCAGAGAGAAAGGAACCUCAACUGAGAAAAUGCCUCUAUGAGAUCCAGUUGUAGGGCAUUUUCUUAACUAGUGAUCAAUAGGGAAGGGCCCAGCAUAUGGUGGGUGGUGUCCUGAGUUCUAUAAGAAAGCAGGCUGAGGGCUGGAGAGAUGGCUCAGCGGUUAAGAGCGCUGACUGACAGGACAGCCAGGGCGAUACAGAAACCCUGUCUCAAAAAACCAAAAAGGGGGCUGGUGAGAUGGCUCAGUGGGUAAGAGCACCCGACUGCUCUUCCGAAGGUCCAGAGUUCAAAUCCCAGCAACCACAUGGUGGCUCACAACCAUCCAUAACGAGAUCUGACGCCCUCUUCUUCUGGUGUGUCUGAAGACAGCUACAGUGUACUUACAUAUAAUAAAUAAAUAAAUCU